rnacentral:rRNA from 1 species
GAUGAACGCUGGCGGCGUGCCUAAUACAUGCAAGUCGAGCGAACAGACGAGGAGCUUGCUCCUCUGACGUUAGCGGCGGACGGGUGAGUAACACGUGGAUAACCUACCUAUAAGACUGGGAUAACUUCGGGAAACCGGAUCUAAUACCGGAUAAUAUAUUGAACCGCAUGGUUCAAUAGUGAAAGACGGUUUUGCUGUCACUUAUAGAUGGAUCCGCGCCGCAUUAGCUAGUUGGUAAGGUAACGGCUUACCAAGGCUACGAUGCGUAGCCGACCUGAGAGGGUGAUCGGCCACACUGGAACUGAGACACGGUCCAGACUCCUACGGGAGGCAGCAGUAGGGAAUCUUCCGCAAUGGGCGAAAGCCUGACGGAGCAACGCCGCGUGAGUGAUGAAGGUCUUCGGAUCGUAAAACUCUGUUAUUAGGGAAGAACAAAUGUGUAAGUAACUAUGCACGUCUUGACGGUACCUAAUCAGAAAGCCACGGCUAACUACGUG